rnacentral:rRNA from 1 species
UAGGGAAUCUUCGGCAAUGGGGGCAACCCUGACCGAGCAACGCCGCGUGAGUGAAGAAGGUUUUCGGAUCGUAAAGCUCUGUUGUAAGAGAAGAACGUGUGUGAGAGUGGAAAGUUCACACAGUGACGGUAACUUACCAGAAAGGGACGGUUAACUACGUGCCAGCAGCCGCGGUAAUACGUAGGUCCCGAGCGUUGUCCGGAUUUAUUGGGCGUAAAGCGAGCGCAGGCGGUUUAAUAAGUCUGAAGUUAAAGGCAGUGGCUUAACCAUUGUUCGCUUUGGAAACUGUUAAACUUGAGUGCAGAAGGGGAGAGUGGAAUUCCAUGUGUAGCGGUGAAAUGCGUAGAUAUAUGGAGGAACACCGGUGGCGAAAGCGGCUCUCUGGUCUGUAACUGACGCUGAGGCUCGAAAGCGUGGGGAGCAAACAGG